ACUAAUCGGCUACUUGAAUCAACUUACUUCAAAAAUUUUCAUUCAAGACUGACAACCUUUUGUAAUCGAAGCCAAUAUGCCAUAAAGAGAUACUUGUAGCUGGAUUAAAUGAACCUCUGAAGCCCUUUGGCAAAACAAUGUUUUUGAGCAAAUGCUGAUGGUUUUCUUUUGCAUGUUUUAAACCAAAACCUGCAAAUAGAGGCUUUCGUCGGGUUUUUUCCUUUUAGGCAGCUUAGUUCAAUAUUUAAUAUUUAGCAACGUAUUUUUCAUGGGCGCCGACGUGAUGUCGAUGGUAUCUGUUGCUAAUAUUAAUAUAAUGCUAUGAAACUCGCAUAUACCUUGGAGUAUUGGCAUUCAGUAGCGUCUUCCCAGAGAGAAAGUUCUAUCAAGUGGACUUUACUUAAAGGAAAAUGCACGUCCUCACGGCUUUUGUUCUAAUCACGUUUCAUGUCGCCUGCUAUGCUGGUCCAUUGCCGGCGGAACUCAGAGUGAGACGUCAAGUGGAGCUUGCGGUCCCUACACUACCAAGUAAGUUUUAGGAUUGCAUUUAUUAAUAUAAAUGCACACAAGAAACAAAUAAUUUAAAAAAGCACAACGCUUUGAUAUUGCCAUGAUACCAUUGUCGAGUGGAAAUGAAUAAAAACAGCUAAGCUGAUAUGAUGCGAGUAGAUUUUCCGGGUCGUGCAAUAAGUUUAAAGUGAAAGAAGAGAAGUGGUAUCUGGUAUAUAUUAAUCAUUGCUGAUUAGCUUCUGUGAUUGUUAAAAGUUUGGGAGUCAACUGAAAUACUCUUGCUGUCUUUUCCACUUAACAAUGAUACCAUAAAGACAUCGAACUGUUGUGCGUUUUAAUGUGCUCCGUUCCAAUUUCAAAUGUUUAACCAAAUAAGUGUAUAAUUCCAGGAAUUGCAUCAGCCAAAAAGAAGCCAUUUGCUUCGGAAAUGUGUAAACGUCCUUCCUGAUUCAUUCUUUAGUAUUAAAAAUUGCCAUUUAAUGAAAUUCCAGGGUAACAUUAAGGGCCUGUUAUAUGGAGGUGGGGGACCCCAGGUAGGUGAGGUAACCCGCCUAAGUGGGGUAACCCACCUGUCCAUAUAAUUUCUUAUUUUAUCUUGAUCACGUUUACAUGAUAGGUGGGGUGACCCGCCUAGGCGCGUUACCCGGUCUGCUAGCUGGGGUAUCCCUGUCAGCCGGGGUGACACAAUUUACCAUGUAAACGUCUCAAGGUGGGGUAACCCGCCUAGCCGGGGUCGCGUUCAUGCAAAAAGCUCAAAAGCGAAACAUGUAUGUUUUAAAACUUUGUACAUUUCCCAGCCGUCUCAUGGAAGGAAUCACCAGAAACCGCAACGGACACACAAGGAGUGUAACUUGUUCACAUUUCGGAAUAUUUAGCGUUGUAAAUCGACCAUAUUUCGUUUCCCAAAAUAUUCUGUAUAACGUAUUAAGUCAACAGUUCCUCACGUGUAUGACGCCUCUGCUCAACAAGCGCAACAACAACCUCAAGAAACCUCACCCCAGCACUUCGGGGUUGUAAGAUUGUACGUAAACGCGUUUU
rnacentral:lncRNA from 1 species